rnacentral:rRNA from 1 species
GACGAACGCUGGCGGCGUGCCUAAUACAUGCAAGUCGAGCGAGCGGAACCAACAGAUUUACUUCGGUAAUGACGUUGGGAAAGCGAGCGGCGGAUGGGUGAGUAACACGUGGGGAACCUGCCCCUAAGUCUGGGAUACCAUUUGGAAACAGGUGCUAAUACCGGAUAAUAAAGCAGAUCGCAUGAUCAGCUUUUGAAAGGCGGCGUAAGCUGUCGCUAAGGGAUGGCCCCGCGGUGCAUUAGCUAGUUGGUAAGGUAACGGCCCACCAAGGCGACGAUCGGUAGCCGGACUGAGAGGUUGAACGGCCACAUUGGGACUGAGACACGGCCCAG